GCAGAGAAUGGAGCAGAACAACACUGCAGCGAAGAUUACAACAACUGGUGACCCCGUGUGAUGAAGAAAACACAACCAAACAUUGAAAGAAGCCAGGCCCUGUGGGUGCUGAGGCUGCUCUGGGCUCUGCCAGGGCUCUGCUGGGCUCAGCCCUGGGCCCAGCUGGGCUGGCUCUGCCCUCACAUUGCUCUGACAGCUCUGCAUCAGACGAACCCAUUGUGGGCACAGCGCCUGAGCUUUCUGCUUUGGCAGCAGUGCCACGAGUGGGCCAAAGCUGGCGAGUGGGCCGUGUUCCUGAGGCAGUGCAGUCUGGAGCUGGUGGAUGGAGAAUUGCCCUUCUGCACUGCCAAACCAGAGCAAAAUGC